rnacentral:lncRNA from 1 species
GGUUUCUACAAAAAUGCAGUAAAUCAUUUCAGCACAAGGGUCGACAAGCUCCUCAACGAGUGGUACAGAGACCUCAGGCCUUACAAACAACCUCGCAACACUGCACAGCGGCGAAGCCGGUGCAGCACCUAUCUCAACGCAACCUGGAAUACCACAAUUGUCGACAAGCUCAUCAGCAAUCAGUUCCCAAGGUCCUGGCAAUGGAAACAUCAUCGUGACGGAACAUCCUAGCCAGACUGGCACUGGACUUACCAUUGUUCAACACGGAGUAGCACAAAGCUCGAGCCACUCCUCGACGAGCAGUGCACAAGCCUCCGGCCAUGCCAACGUUGUUGCAAUCGAACAGCAUGGCGGCACGGGAGCAGCACUUCUUGCUGUACAUCAGGCAACCGGUAAGAGGUGUUUAC